CCUGGGUGUCUUGUUAUACUGCAGGUGGUAAUUCAUUACCUCUCGAUUUGGGCCUGAUAUUUGCAUUUCUAACAAGUUCCCAGGUGAUGCUGGUAUUUCUUGUUCAGGAAUCACACUUAGAGUAGCAA
rnacentral:miRNA from 1 species